rnacentral:lncRNA from 1 species
UCUUUCUCUAACCCUGUAACCUAAGCUCCUCACCACCACCACUCCUGCCGCCGACCACCACAACCGCCCUAACAUCACCACCGUAAGCACAAUCACCGCCUAACAUUCUCACUCCAUGUCUCUCUUUUCUUGGUCGAUUGCAGCUGUGGAUUGAUGUCAGAGGCUGGUGCCCAGAUCUGCAAAAUCGAAGUUUGGGAGGCUAGUGGAAUGGUGUGGUUGUGUUUGAUUCAGAGGUGGGUUUGCUCGAUUUAGUUAAUCAUUACAUCCCAUUUGAUUCGGAGGUGCGGUUGUGUUUGAUUCAGAGGUUGGUUUGCUUGAUUCAGAGGUUGGAUCAGAUGCUUGCUUCUAUGCAUAGUGCAAGUGUUGAAGAAGCAAAGGCAUCACAUUUGUAUAGUUAUAAACAUGAGUUUAUAGGGCUUGUAGUGUCUAUCACAGUGGUGGUGGCGGAUUAGGUGGUUGUGGGGGUUGGUUGGAAAUAAAGAACUGAGAUUGAGAUAAAAGAGAUUGGUGGUGGUUAUGGUGGUGGUGGUGGGGAAAAAAAAGGGAAAGAAUGAAAAAGGUAAGAGAUAUAAGUGAGUUUUUAAAGUUGGGUUUUAGUUUUCUUUAAUUAAGUUAGUAAAAUAGCUAAACUACCCCUAACUGAUUAGAUAUAACUGAAAAUUUUAACUUGAUUAGUGCUAAAGGACAAAAGAUGUAGUGAGUUUUUCGAAUAAAGGAUUAUAACUGUAAUUAUUAAAGUUAAAGAUU